rnacentral:tRNA from 1 species
CCCCUGGUGGCUCAGACAGUUAAGAAUCUGCCUGCAAUGCAGAAGACCCAGGUUCGAUCCCUGGGUUGGGAA